rnacentral:rRNA from 1 species
AUUGAACGCUGGCGGCAGGCCUAACACAUGCAAGUCGAGCGAGCGGCGGACGGGUGAGUAAUGUAUGGGGACUGCCCGAUAGAGGGGGAUAACUACUGGAAACGGUAGCUAAUACCGCAUACUAUCGGAUAACCCAUAUGGGAUUAGCUAGUAGGUGAGGGAAUGGCUCACCUAGGCGACGAACCCUAGCUGGUCUGGGAGGAUGAUCAGCUACACUGGACAUGAGACAGGGCCCAGACUCGUACGGAGGCAGCAGUGGGGAAUAUUGCACAAUGGGCGCAAGCCUGAUGCAGCCAUGCAGCGUGUAUGAAGAAGGCCCUAGGGUUGUAAAGUACUUUCAGUCGGGAGGCGUUACCGACAGAAGAAGCACCGGCUAACUCCGUGCCAGCAGCCGCGGUAAUUC